UCGAACGACGGAGAUGACAUUCCUCCUUAACCGCCUUCACGGGCUGAUGAUGUCUACGUAACC
rnacentral:ncRNA from 18 species